rnacentral:lncRNA from 1 species
CAACUAUAAAAAAAAGUUUAAAAAAAUACAUUUUUUUCAACACUGGGGAUAGAACCCAGGAGCACUCUACUACUGAGCAACAUCUGUAGCCCCUUUUUUAAAAUUUUGAGACAGGGUCUUGCUAAAUCGCCUGAGCUGGCCUCAAAUUUGUGAUCCUCCCUGCUCAGCCUCCAGAAAAGCUAGAUUACAAGAGUGAGCCAUCACACCCAGCACAUUUUGGCUUUUAAAUGGAUAACAAAGCAGGAUAUUAACUUUCCCUCAAGAAGAUAAAUAUUUCUAUGGUGUCCAAUAAUCAUUUUGUUUUAUCUUCUGGUAAGAAAGAACAACUGAAAGAGCCAGGGGUGGUGGCAACUGUAAUCUCCUGUACACCUGUAAUCUCAGCUACUCGGGAGGCUGAGGCAGGAAGAUCACAAGUUUGAGGCCUGCUUCAGAAGCUUAGUGAGAUCCUGUCUCAAAAUAAAAAUGUUUAAAAAAAGGGCUCAAACCCCCGGGUUCAAUUUCCAGUCUGUAGGGGAAGGGGGGAGAAAUUUCUGGAGAUUGAAUUCCAUUAUCUUCCAUCUUCUAUUGCUGUUGAAGAGAAGUCUGCUGUUACUCUCUCUUAGUUCCUCUGUAGGUAAUGUCUUAUUUCCUUGGUUGCAUUUGGCAUUUUUCCUCUUUGACGUUCUGCAUUUGCUUUUAUUUGUAUUUAUUUAUUUAUUUUCGGUAUUAGGGAUUGAAUGUAGGGGUGCUCUAUCUACAUCCCUAGCCAAGGUCUCACUAAAUUGCCCUGGCUGGCCUCAAAUUUGCAGUUCUCUUGCUUCAGCCUCCUGAGUAGCUAGGAUUAUAGGAGUGCACCACUGUGCUUGGCUACAUUCGCUCUUACACAUGUGUCUACCUGUUGAAUUAAAACCACAAAACAAAACCAGGCUCAGCGGGGAUGGGUUUGUAGCUCAGUCGGUAGAGCAUUUGCCUUGUACAUGUAAGGCACUGGGUUCGAUCCUCAGCACCACAUAAAAACAAAUAAAGAAAAUAAAGGUAUUGUGUCUGUCUACAACUAAAAAAAAAAAAACAGGCUCAGGAUGUGGCUCAGUAUUGGAGUGCUUGCUUAGCAUGUGUGAGUUCCUGGGUUUGAUUCCCAACACUGAAAAAAAAAAAAAAACCCAAACUGCUCAGAGUUAAAUAUAUUCUUCAAUCUGAUGAACAUGUUGUAUAAUAAAAACUUGUCUGGCUGGGCACAGUGGUGCACACCUGAAAUUCCAGCAACUCAAGAGGCUCAGGCAGGAGGACUGCAAGUUCAAGGCUACUCUCAGCAACUUAGGGAGACUCUGUC